GGUUAUACAAUCUGGACAGGACAGCAGACGGCCAAGAAGCUAAAGCAUCCUGAAAGGACAGAACAGGUUUUUGUUCAUCUGCUUCAGUUGUUAACAUCUGUGAGCUGCAUACAGAGCCCUAGACCUAAAACUCUGACAGUGACGAAACAGAUUCGCUCAGGGAGAUAUUUUGUUUCUUUUGGGGGAUGCAGCCUGCUGCAAAAUUCUGUGUUUUGACAAGGACUCUCAAUAGCAUCUCCUUAGCCUUGGAGAGUGUCAUGCGUGUUUUAUCUUUUGUGCGCUCAAAAAAAGUUUAGAUGCAUCUUUGAAUGUAUUUAAGUUGCCGGCGCUGCCUAGAGAGGAAAAAAGGUCACCAUCUGAGACCUAGAGUAAGCUCAGACAAGGCAAAACUAGUCAAAAAAAAAAAAAAAUUAUGUGCCCAAGUCACAAAUACAUUGUUUUCAGUUAUUACAAAGAACAGUCAUGAUAUCUUUCCACCACUAUUCUGCAUUAAAGGUUUAGGCAUUUUAAAGGCAUUAUAUGUCGGUUGUGAUGAUGGUUGUACAACAGUAAAUAUAAUAAAAUUCAUUGAAUUAUUUAAAAAAUAGAGGAAUGCUAUGUAUCUCUCCUCGAUGAGAUCUACUUCCUUCCAUGAGUGUAAACAUUUCAGCUGUAAGAUCUUUUGAAUGAAUUAAUGAAGGCCCCUCCCCCCCACACACACACACACCAUGCUCUGCUGAUGUCCAGCUCCACUGGUCCACCUUAGAGAAAGGGGACAGAGCACUAGGGGACAGAGGGAGGGAGGGAAAGGGAGAGAGAGGAAAGGCAGAAGGAAGAAAGGAAGAAAGUGACAGUCACUUUAAGAACAUGUGACUCUCUGGACCACAGAGUGAACCCUGAAUAUAUUCUGUCUUCCCACCUCUUCUCCAUGUGUUCUAGGCUCACCUACUGAGUGUAUUUCCAGACCCUUGAAAGCUGAGGGCAUCUCCUGCAGGUUUUGCUAACCCCAUCUCACAACAAAAGAGGCAGUCAGUGGCAAUAUCUGAUUACGUGAUGCUCUUUUAAGUGGCAGACAUUCAAAGCUUCUCAUGGGGAUAAUUCUGACUCUGAGACACUGUUCAUAAGAGCAUCUCUCUGGUAAACGAUCACUGCCCUGUUUUUCCUUUUGUUUUUUUUUUUUGCUUUUUAGGGCCACACUUGCGGCACAUGGAAGUUCCUGGGCUAGGGGUCAAAUCGGAACUGCAGUAGCUGGCCUACACCACGGCCACAGAAACUCCAGUUUGGAACUGCAUCUGCAACCUACACUGCAGGUACAGCAUUGCCCUAUCCGAGCUGCAUCUGUGACCUACGCCGCAGAUGGGUCCUUAACCCACUGACCAGGGAUCAAACCUCCCAUCUUCAUGGAUACUAAUUGGGUUCGUAACCCGCUGAGCCACAGUGGGAACUCCUGCCCUGGAUUUUAAUAUAUGAUCUUAUGUAAUAUUCCUCAUCUCUGGGGCAGGGGUUAUUACUGCCAACUUGCAGAAAAGGAAGCUGGUUUUUGUCUGUUUGUUUGUCUCUUUGCUUUUUAGGGCCACACCCAAGGCAUAUGUAGGUUUCCAGGCUAGG
rnacentral:lncRNA from 1 species